rnacentral:rRNA from 2 species
AACGCGAAGAACCUUACCUACUCUUGACAUCCAGAGAACUUUCCAGCGAUGGAUUGGUGCCUUCGGGAACUGUGAGACAGGUGCUGCAUGGCUGUCGUCAGCUCGUGUUGUGAAAUGUUGGGUUAAGUCCCGCAACGAGCGCAACCCUUAUCCUUUGUUGCCAGCGGUUAGGCCGGGAACUCAAAGGAGACUGCCAGUGAUAAACUGGAGGAAGGUGGGGAUGACGUCAAGUCAUCAUGGCCCUUACGACCAGGGCUACACACGUGCUACAAUGGCAUAUACAAAGAGAAGCGACCUCGCGAGAGCAAGCGGACCUCAUAAAGUAUGUCGUAGUCCGGAUUGGAGUCUGCAACUCGACUCCAUGAAGUCGGAAUCGCUAGUAAUCGUAGAUCAGAAUGCUACGGUGAAUACGUUCCCGGGUCUUGUACACACCG